rnacentral:misc_RNA from 1 species
GAAAUGAGAUAAGUAAUGUGAAUUGCAGAAUUCAGUGAAUCAUCGAAUCCUUGAACGCACCUUGCGCUCCUUGGUAUUCCUUGGAGCAUGCCUGUUUGAGUAUCAUGAAAUCUUCAAAGUAAAUCUUUUGUUAACUCAAUUGGUUUCUACUUUGGUAUUGGAGGUCUUUGCAGCUUCACACCUGCUCCUCUUUGUUCAUUAGCUGGAUCUCAGUGUUAUGCUUGGUUCCACUCGGCGUGAUAAGUUAUCUAUCGCUGAGGACACUGUAAAAGGUGGCCAAGGUAAAUGCAGAUGAACCGCUUCUAAUAGUCCAUUGACUUGGACAAUACUUUUAUGAUCUGAUCUCAAAUCAGGUAGGACUACCCGCUGAACUUAAGC